AUUGAACGCUGGCGGAAUGCUUUACACAUGCAAGUCGAACGGCAGCACGGACUUCGGUCUGGUGGCGAGUGGCGAACGGGUGAGUAACAUAUCGGAACGUAUCCAAUAAUGGGGGAUAACGAGUCGAAAGAUUCGCUAAUACCUCAUACGCCCUACGGGGGAAAGCUGGGGACCUUCGGGCCUGGCGUUAAUGGAGCGGCCGAUAUCUGAUUAGCUAGUUGGUGAGGUAAAGGCACACCAAGGCGACGAUCAGUAGCUGGUCUGAGAGGACGACCAGCCACACUGGAACUGAGACACGGUCCAGACUCCUACGGGAGGCAGCAGUGGGGAAUUUUGGACAAUGGGCGCAAGCCUGAUCCAGCCAUUCCGCGUGAGUGAAGAAGGCCUUCGGGUUGUAAAGCUCUUUCGCAAGGGAAGAAAACUUAGCCACUAACAUUGGUUGAGGUUGACGGUACCUUGAUAAGAAGCACCGGCUAACUACGUGCCAGCCGCCGCUGUAA
rnacentral:rRNA from 1 species